CACCGCGGUUAUACGAGAGACCCAAGUUGACAGACAAUCGGCGUAAAGAGUGGUUAAGUACCCUACUUCACUAAAGCCAAACACCUUCAAAGCUGUUAUACGCACCCGAAGGUUAGAAGCCCAAUCACGAAAGUGGCUUUAAACUAACUGAACCCACGAAAGCUAGGACA
rnacentral:rRNA from 1 species